GUUGGGCUGAGCAGCAGGUGCUGGCACGGCACAGAGAGGGACUGACACUGCCUCUUGUCCCAUUCAGAGUCUGCCUCAGCUGUGCGGUGCAGGGGACGGCCAGGCAUUCACAAGUACCCUGCAGCAUCUCUACACGGCCGUGGUCAGGCAGGAGGUGAGGGCAGCGCAGAAGCGGCACCACUCAGGGGAUGGCGAGACCACAGAGCUCACCUCGUCUCCGCAGCUGGACUCAUUGGUCAUGCUGGGCUCUCAGCAGGAAAAGGUUGAGCCACCCUCUGACUUGCCCCAGAGCCUGGGAGCCGCAGCGACUCCCUCCUCUCCGGCCCAGAGAGCCCGGCUGCUCGUGUCCAAGGCCAAGAGGAAGAAGGCAAAGGGGCUCUUCGGCUGAUGCUCCGCUGUCCGUCCCCCUUGCCGUGGGGAGGGGUCUGGCCCCAGGCCUUCAUUGCUCACCGUGGCAGCUUCAGGACACCAGCACAGAACCUUGAAUCCCUGACGCAGUAUCUGGAAGGGCCAAUCAGGGCUCCCACUCCAGACAGCGCGUGGGACCCUCUCCCCCCAUGGCAGAUCCUGCUGAAGGAGGUUCGUUCAGCCCCUUCUCACUUCACCUGUGGGCACUAGAUGCUGGGAAGUUUCUGGUGCUUCCCAUGGCCAGGCUUCUCCACUAGCAGAGCCAGUGUGGCAGGUGUCUCCUCUCCCCACACUGGCCUGGCUUUCCUGCCCAGCCCUUACCCUGCCCCGCAGCUGUGGGACUGCCCCUUUCUGUGCUCUGCAGGGCUGAGAACAUGGAUGAGGGGGGCAGGUUCCUGUUUUUUCGACGGGUGGCUCCACACUUGCUUUUUUGCAAUAAAGGCCCCUCUCUGCCU
rnacentral:lncRNA from 1 species